rnacentral:rRNA from 1 species
GCAGCAGUGGGGAAUAUUGGACAAUGGGGGCAACCCUGAUCCAGCCAUGCCGCGUGAGUGAUGAAGGCCUUAGGGUUGUAAAGCUCUUUCACCGGUGAAGAUAAUGACGGUAACCGGAGAAGAAGCCCCGGCUAACUUCGUGCCAGCAGCCGCGGUAAUACGAAGGGGGCUAGCGUUGUUCGGAAUUACUGGGCGUAAAGCGCACGUAGGCGGACCAUUAAGUCAGGGGUGAAAUCCCGGAGCUCAACUCCGGAACUGCCUUUGAUACUGGUGGUCUAGAGACCGAGAGAGGUAAGUGGAACUCCUAGUGUAGAGGUGGAAUUCGUAGAUAUUAGGAAGAACACCAGUGGCGAAGGCGGCUUACUGGCUCGGAACUGACGCUGAGGUGCGAAAGCGUGGGGAGCAAACAGGAUUAGAUAC